GGGGCAAGUGGAGUGGGGAAUGGCAGCAGCUUCAGAGAUUUCGAGUUCGAGACCCAUCUCUCCACUGAUGUUGGCAGGGUGCGGCGGGCUGGUGCGGCAGGGUGUUCCAGUGUCCUACGCUGAGGGUUCAACACUGUAGGAGACCGAGGUCAGAGGAUCGCCCUGUGGAGUCCAGCCUGGGCAAUUUAGUCAUUUAAGGAGACUCAGUUUCAAAAAGUUAAAGUGCUCGCUCUGCCAGCACAUACACAAAAAAAGUUUUAAAAGGGCAGAGGGGCCUGUAGAUGCAGUCCAGAAGAAGGCCUUGGGUUCAAACUCCAGAACUAUAAAUAAAUAAGCGAAUGUUAUUUGAACAGGUACUUUGUGUACCUACUGACUUAAUUUUAGCAAACAAAAAGACAAUAAGAGAAUAAACAUAA